GAGCUGUGAUGAGAUCUGAAGAAAGUCAUGCACCACUCUUACAAAAUUAAUUAUUUUUUUGAUUGAUGACAAAUUUCUCAUACCCAUUUUGCUUCUGAGCUC
rnacentral:snoRNA from 1 species